AGGGUUCCAGAAGCAACCAAACUGUCCAUGUGGCAACUGACAGCAUUGCUGAAUAUUUCCCCAUCAGUUUAUUCUGUUGCCCAUUGGAAGCCAUUGAAACUUCUGAAAACAGGAGUGGUGAUCUGAGCUGCACUUGACUAUUAUAUCCCUGGCAUCUGUGAAAGAUGGAUUGCAGAGAAAGGUUGGAGGCAGAGGGCCAUCCUGUACAUGCUAAGCAGAAGCUAUGGUCCUGUCUUCAUGGUGUGCUGAGCUCAGAGGAAGACGUGAAAUGAUUUGCAUAAGGAGAUUCAUUGACAAGAAAACUGCUAGAGUCCAAACUUGAGGCCCAGGACUGGAAAUGAAACAAAGGGCCCCCCAACAGGAGCUCUCCAUGGGACUGUGAGAUCCCACAAGGUAGGAACCUGAUCUUAUACAUUUCCAGAGCUCACAGCGAUUGACACCGUCAUCAUUAUCCAGGAGGUGUGCAAUUCAUCGGCCUAAAGUGAUCUGAAAUAGUCUGGGUGAGUUUGUGCUUGGCCCAGGGCUCCAUUCAUCACACAAGGAAGCAGCACAGGUAGUAAAGAACUAAAUGCUGGUUACAAACUCAAGGUAAAAUAUUUCAACCUUGUCAUAAAAAUUACAGACAUGUUUCCAAGCCCUUCUGUUUUCUUAUCUAUUUUAACCUCAGCUCUUGUAUAAUUUUACAGACAAAGGUAAUGCAUUUUCAUUUCAGCC